rnacentral:rRNA from 1 species
UCUUGGACAAUGGGCGCAAGCCUGAUCCAGCCAUGCCGCGUGAGUGAUGAAGGCCUUAGGGUCGUAAAGCUCUUUCGCCUGUGACGAUAAUGACGGUAGCGGGUAAAGAAACCCCGGCUACCUCCGUGCCAGCAGCCGCGGUAAUACGGAGGGGGUUAGCGUUGUUCGGAAUUACUGGGCGUAAAGCGCGCGUAGGCGGACUAUUAAGUCAGGGGUGAAAUCCCGGGGCUCAACCCCGGAACUGCCUUUGAUACUGGUAGUCUUGAGUUCGAGAGAGGUGAGUGGAAUUCCGAGUGUAGAGGUGAAAUUCGUAGAUAUUCGGAGGAACACCAGUGGCGAAGGCGGCUCACUGGCUCGAUACUGACGCUGAGGUGCGAAAGUGUGGGGAGCAAAC